AUUGAACGCUGGCGGCAUGCCUUACACAUGCAAGUCGAACGGCAGCGGACCUUCGGGUGCCGGCGAGUGGCGAACGGGUGAGUAAUGCAUCGGAACGUACCUUUCAGUGGGGGAUAACGUAGCGAAAGUUACGCUAAUACCGCAUAUUCUGUGAGCAGGAAAGCAGGGGGUCGCAAGACCUUGCGCUGAUUGAGCGGCCGAUGUCAGAUUAACUAGUUGGUGAGGUAAAGGCUCACCAAGGCGACGAUCUGUAGCGGGUCUGAGAGGAUGAUCCGCCACACUGGGACUGAGACACGGCCCAGACUCCUACGGGAGGCAGCAGUGGGGAAUUUUGGACAAUGGGGGCAACCCUGAUCCAGCCAUGCCGCGUGAGUGAAGAAGGCCUUCGGGUUGUAAAGCUCUUUCGGCCGGGAAGAAAUCGCACGGGCUAAUACCCUGUGUGGAUGACGGUACCGGAAUAAGAAGCACCGGCUAACUACGUGCCAGCAGCCGCCGUAAGAC
rnacentral:rRNA from 1 species